AAUAUUUCCUCGAAGAUGUCUUUUUCAUUUAGGACUCAUACAAAUAAUCUUUUUUGUUUGGUUUUGUUUAUUUUGUGUCUCCAGGCAGAGGAGCUUGGAUGUGAGGGCAAAGUGGAGGAGGCCCAGGGUGUGAUGAAGCUUGCAGAUCAGCUAAAAGAAGAGCGCCAUCAACUGGAAACUCAGCCCACUCAGGAUGAUGUGCCCAUGAUGAAGCAGAUGGAAGUGUGUGACGUGUGCGGGGCAUUUCUCAUCGUCGGCGACGCCCCACAGAGGCAGGAUGAGCACUUGAUGGGGAAGCAGCAUGCAGGCUAUGCUCAAGUACGAGCUGAGGUGGAGAAGCGCAAGAGAAAAGCAAGAGAAGAAAUGGAAGCAAGAGAAGCCAAUGAAGCUAAACUGAAGCAGGAAAGAGAGGAGAGGGAGAGAGAAAGGCAGAGAGAAAGAGAUGAACGUCGUCAACGAGAGCGAGAUCGGGAGAGGGAAAAGGAAAAAGAGAGAGAAAGGAGAAGGAGGAGUCGUUCUAGGAGUAGAGACCGCCAGAGGUCUCGAAGUCGGGAUCGUAGAAGACGACGUAGCACAAGCAGAGACCGUCGCAGCUCUCGGAGAAGCAGAAGUCGCAGUAGAGAUAGGAAACGUCGUAGUCACAGUAGUAGCAGAAGUCGUAAGUCCCGGCGUUCGUCCAGUCGGGACAGGAAAUCCAGUCACAGACGCUCACGAGACAGACGGUCAAGAAGCCGUAAUCGAUCACGGUCAAGAGACAGAAGAGAAAAAAGCAAAGAGGAGAAAGACAGAAAGUCAAAUGGAAGUGAAAGAGAGGAGAAAAAAGAGAAUGAAAGAAAAUCUGGUAGCCGUGGCAGAGACUCCGUAACAUCAGAGAACCCAGAAAUGGCAGUCGAUUCUUUCCUAGCUAGUGGUGAGAAGCAUCUAACUGAAGUCCCAGAGCAGAAUGACUUGAAGCAAGAGAGCACUACUACUGAGCCGAAUGCCCGUGAUGUAACUUCUGUUGAUGGUGGUGGACAGAAUGGUCCUGAGAAUAGUGAAGGUGACUCUAAAAUCGAUGAUUGAGCAUACACACUGCCAAUAGCCCAGCUAUACAAAUAUGGCGAAGUAACUGAAUGUUGAGCCGAUGCCAACCUAAGGAUUGCCAGCAAGGGAACAGCAAUCAAAUGACUUAUAGCAUCGUUUCACACUUAAAUUGUUCAGUGGUCAAGACUGAAGUAAGCCUACCGAACCAUUAGAGCCAAUCAUGUCUUGGUGGGAGACCUGAGCUGGUUUUGCAAGACCCUCAUGGUACCAAGAUUGUUCUUAGAUUCUUUGUAUCUGUUAUAAUUUUUUGUUUUUUGUUUUGUUAUUGUGUACUUUUAAGUCACAUUUGUAUGUAGUGUAGCUCUUCAGCUAUUCCUUAAAGAUGUUUGAACAUAUGAGCUUCGGGUUAAUUGGGACGCAUAAUUUAAAAAAUUGGCUUUUAUCACAUUUUUGUGUUUGUUCAAGAAAAUAAAGUCAAUGCAGCUCAAUGCAUUGGUACUCUAUGUGUGACGAAAAUCCUUGUAUAUUUAUGUAAAUCUCAUGCGAGGGGUAAGACAUUGUUUUUUUAUAAUGCAUGAGCGUUACUGAAUGUGAAUUUUAAACCUUUUUUUUUUAUAUAUAAGUGUUGACUUUUCCAAUAAAUGAAUUUAAAAUCUUGAGUGAAUAAAGUUGUUGAAUUCACUUCUAA